rnacentral:rRNA from 1 species
UACACUCCUACGGGAGACAGCAGUGGGGAAUAUUGGACAAUGGGCGCAAGCCUGAUCCAGCCAUGCCGCGUGAGUGAUGAAGGCCCUAGGGUUGUAAAGCUCUUUCACCGGUGAAGAUAAUGACGGUAACCGGAGAAGAAGCCCCGGCUAACUUCGUGCCAGCAGCCGCGGUAAUACGAAGGGGGCUAGCGUUGUUCGGAUUUACUGGGCGUAAAGCGCACGUAGGCGGACUAUUAUGUCAGGGGUGAAAUCCCGGGGCUCAACCCCGGAACUGCCUUUGAUACUGGUAGUCUUGAGUUCGAGAGAGGUGAGUGGAAUUCCGAGUGUAGAGGUGAAAUUCGUAGAUAUUCGGAGGAACACCAGUGGCGAAGGCGGCUCACUGGCUCGAUACUGACGCUGAGGUGCGAAAGCGUGGGGAGCAAACAGGAUUAGAUACCCGGGUAGUCCCAUGAU